GGGCACAUGGUGUAGUUGGUUAUCACGCCCGCUUAGCAUCAGAUCACACUGACCAACUUGCGGGCGGUCCCCGGUUCAAUUCCGGGUGUGUCCA